rnacentral:lncRNA from 1 species
ACUUGGUGUACAUGACAUUUGCUUUGGAAGUAAAUUCAAGAAAAUAUCAUAUACAUUUAAAAACAUUCAUUAUAGAAAACUAAUAUUUUCAAUCCAUGAACAAAGUCUUUCUUUUUUUUUCUUAGGGAAGAUAAAAAUGACUAAACUUGGCAGAUUAGUUCAGACAAUUUGUCCUUCCUAAAUAUUUUUUUAAUAUGUUUUUUUUUGUUUUUUUGUUAGCCUAGUUCAUCUCAGUCAUUUACCACCUCGUUAAUCAUACCUAACAUAACUAGUACAGUCAACACAACUAGUCCAUCUAUCCUGGCUAUCUCGACCACCUCAUCUAUCCGUUCAUUUUGUUUAUCCCAACUAUCUCGUCAACUUGUUCAUCCAAAUCAGUCCAACCAUCUUGUCAGCUUGUUCAUUCAAAUCAUCCAUGCUAAACUGGUAAGCCAUUCAACCCGUCCAUCUCAUACAUCUUACCCAUCCAGUCAUCUCAAUCCAUCUUCAUUAGUCUGACCAUCAUGCCAACCCCGUUAGCCCAACCAGUCAAUAUAUCCUAGCCGUUAGCCCGUCCAUCUCGUCUAUCUUAGUCAUUUUGUCAAUUGUUCAUCGUAGCCAGCCCGACCAAUUCAUCCAUCCCAUCAGUCCGACCAUCUUUCCAUCUUGGCCAUCCAACCCAACUUGUCUAUCUCGGCCAUCGCAGCAGCCCAUCAAUCCUAACCAUCCCCAUCAACCUGACCAUCACGUUAACUCGUUCGUCCCGUUCCUUUCGCCAACUCAUCCAUCCCAGUCAUCCAGUAAGUCUAGUCCAUCCCAGCCAUUCCGUUUACCCUACCAUCCCGACCAUCUUGUAUAUAGAUAUUUUUUAGGGUAUUGUUUUCUUAUAUAGAUAUUGACUCAUUGUAGAAUGCAUUUUAUGUGUUUUAAAAUAGGUUUAAACCUUUUUUUGGUCCCUAAGUUAAGUUUUGAUGUUCAGUUUAGUCUCCGCUUUUAAAAAUGUCAACCUUUAGUACCUAUGAUAUGAAAAAUGUAUCAAAUCAGUCAUAUUCCGUAACAAAUCACAAGUUUUUCAUUAAGUGAUUUGUUGUUCAUAACACCU